rnacentral:rRNA from 1 species
GACGGAAGGUGCAAGCGUUGCUCGGAAUCACUGGGCGUAAAGGGUGCGUAGGCGGCUUGGUAAGUUGGGUGUGAAAGCCCCGGGCUCAGCCCGGGAAGGGCACUCGAAACUGCCGAGCUGGAGUGCCGGAGGGGAGAGUGGAAUUCCUGGUGUAGCGGUGAAAUGCGUAGAUAGUCAGGAGGAAUACCGGUGGCGAAAGCGACUCUCUGGACGGCAACUGACGCUGAGGCACGAAAGCGUGGGGAGCAAACAGG